rnacentral:rRNA from 1 species
CGUGUAGGCGGGUCUUUAAGUCAGGGGUGAAAUGCCAAGGCUCAACCUUGGAACUGCCUUUGAUACUGGAGAUCUUGAGUCCGGGAGAGGUGAGUGGAACUGCGAGUGUAGAGGUGAAAUUCGUAGAUAUUCGCAAGAACACCAGUGGCGAAGGCGGCUCACUGGCCCGGAACUGACGCUGAGACGCGAAAGCGUGGGGAGCGAAACAGGAUUAGAUACCCUGGUAGUCCACGCUGUAAACGAUGGAUGCUAGCCGUUGGGGAGCUUGCUCUUCAGUGGCGCAGCUAACGCUUUAAGCAUCCCGCCUGGGGAGUACGGUCGCAAGAUUAAA